rnacentral:rRNA from 1 species
CCUACGGGAGGCAGCAGUGAGGAAUAUUGGACAAUGGAGGAGACUCUGAUCCAGCCAUGCCGCGUGCAGGAAGACGGCCCUAUGGGUUGUAAACUGCUUUUAUACGGGAAGAAAAACAGCUACGUGUAGUUGACUGACGGUACCGUAAGAAUAAGGACCGGCUAACUCCGUGCCAGCAGCCGCGGUAAUACGGAGGGUCCGAGCGUUAUCCGGAAUUAUUGGGUUUAAAGGGUCCGUAGGCGGGCCAUUAAGUCAGUGGUGAAAGUCUGCAGCUCAACUGUAGAAUUGCCUUUGAUACUGGUGGUCUUGAGUUAUGGUGAAGUGGCUGGAAUAUGUAGUGUAGCGGUGAAAUGCAUAGAUAUUACAUAGAACACCGAUUGCGAAGGCAGGUCACUAACCAUAUACUGACGCUGAUGGACGAAAGCGUGGGGAGCGAACAGGAUUAGAUACCCUGGUAG